ACAAAAGAGGAAAAAAAAAUAAACAAUAAAAAACAGAGACUUUCACUCACUCACAAUUCAUUCACUCACAUGAUAAGACAGCAUCUCAUGUCUCUGCGGCAAACAGAAGUGAUUAACACAAAUGUGCUGAUUCUCACUCUGAGAAACAUUCAGAUGAGCAAACGGACACAUUUUCUUGCUCGUGUCAAAGUUCUUAAGUGCAAG